UGCUCUCCAAGCAGAAGGACAGACAAUGUUAUUUUCUCACCUCCUUGCUCAUCGAAUCUAAGUUGAGAGGAGCUUAGUAAGUUAGGGGCAGUAGUAGUAAUACUUCUGUAGCGUGUAUACGGAUAAGUGAUGUGUGUAUAUUUCUUAUAUACUGAAUCUGAUACUGGUUGUUGUCUUGUUGCGAAAUCUAACCCAGAGGGUGUCCAAAAAGGGGGGAACGGGUGAGGGCUCAAUGUCAGAAGCGGAUAUAUAGAAGAAGGGACGAACAAAACAAUACAUCAUUAGCGCAAGGGACGAGAAAAAGGAGGAGAGGGGGAAACCGUUAGAUAAAAUAUACAAAGACAAAUUCGAAGGGAGGCGAGAUAGAAAGGUCAACAUUACAAAAUCAUAUACAUAGGUAUCCAGAAUAAAUAAAUUAGUAAAUAAAAUGGGAAGAGAAACGGAGAAACAAAAAAAUGUUUACAGU
rnacentral:sRNA from 1 species